GAAUAAAUAAAUUUGGUGUAUUUACUGUUUUCUGAUUGGUUAAAAUUAUUAGUUUUAUUUUCAAUGUUGUCAAUUUUGAUGGCGACACGCCCACUCUGACGUUGUGUAUUCAUACGCCAACAUGUGUGUACGUUGUUAUUGUUAAUAUAAAUAAUAUAAAAAGUUCUUUAAGCCUUAUUUUUGAUAGAAAUUUAUUUAUAAUGAAUGGCAAUAAUUUAUUUUGAUUUUAUUGAACCAUAAAACUAAUUUUUGACUCUUCACAUUUUACAUAAUCCGCUUCGCGGAUUAUUCAAUGUGAAGAGUCAAAAAUUAGUUUUAUGGUUCAAUAAAUUCAAAAUAGAUAAUAG
rnacentral:lncRNA from 1 species